ensembl:lincRNA
GGACAGAGUUUUGCUGUGAGAAGAGGAGCAGAAGUGGGAAGAAAAUAGAGGCAGUCAGAGAAUUGUUGAUUGCAAACACAAGUGCAUGUGAGUGUAGAGGGACAGGCCUGCUCUCUGUAUCCCUCUCCUGGCCCUCCCUGUGCUUUUGCUUUGGUCAGCAGGCUAAAGGAGGAGGUAAGGGGCAUUUGCAGUCUUCUCCUGUUUGUUAGAGGAGCCAAGGCAGCUGGUGGGUAGAUGUG